ensembl:lncRNA
GUCUUGUUAGGUUGGAUGAACAGAGGUGAGGUGGGGAUGCAAAUGGUUCCAGAUCGUUUGGGUUGGUAUCCUGGUUAUCACUGGUGAUAACAUUGGAAGGGCCGGUGGCUUGCCUGCUGUUGCUGGAUAUGAAAAACGUAUUAGAAGCAACGGGAUGAACUGUGAUAGUAUUUGACAUUUGCAGACUUAAAACCUUGAGCCUGAACUUGUUAAAUAUAAGCAAGUUCGUUAUGACCAUCACUUCCAGCCACAUCAAAAAGUUUUAGGUAGUCACUUUUCCUGUCGAGUUUGUUUCUGGCAGAGUCCUGUCUUUGGACUCUCAUUUGGCUUGAAGACAUCAUUGGCCUGUCCCGAAAAUAUGGCCAAGUGUCAAAGGAUUGUAUUUUGGCAUGAACCGGCUCAUAAUUCUGACGUGCAGCUGCAGAGUUUAAGGCAGGCCAGUCUGAGGUUAACCGAACUGAGCUUGAUUGUGGUUUAAUAUGAAAUGGCUCAUAAGCUUGCUGCUGUGGUGCUGCAAAGGUCAGGAAAGGCUUUGCAGAUGCAGCCAUGGCUGAACUAAAUUGUGGUUUAAUUGGAUAUGGCUCAUAAGUUUGCUGUUGUGUUGUUCCAAAGUAAGGUCGCUCUGAUCCAGCUGGGGUUGAACUUUGUGGUUUAAUGUGAAAUAGAUCAUAGGUCUCUUGCUGUGGUGCUGCAAAACUUAGGAAAGGCCUUGCUGAUGCAACGAGGUUUGAACUUGAUUGGGGUUUAAUGGGAUAUUGUUUAUGAGUCUGUUGUGUUGUUCCAAAGCUUACAAAAGGCCGUUCUAAUUCAGUCAGGGUUGAACUUGGUGGUUUAACAUGAACAGGCUUAUAAGUCUGCUGGUGUGUUGUCCCAAAGUUUAGGAAAGGCCUUGCUGACCCAGCCAGAGAUGAACUUGGCUGAACAUGAACUGGCUCAUGAGGCUCUUGCUGGGGUGUAGCAAAACUUACAAAUGGUCUUCCUGAUCCAAAUAAAGUUGAACUUGAUUGUGGUUUGAUGGGAUAUGGCUGCUCCUGUGUUUCUGUAUUGCCAGUACCAGCAGAGUUUGAGGGUUGCCUUGAUCCAAUCAUGGCUGAAAUUGGUUUUUCUGGUUUUACAGAAUCAGGACUCUCUGGAUUGUGUUCACUUGCCAAAUGAACAACAUGGCUGGUGGUUGGGGUGUUGACAGAUUGAGAAACAGAUGAAGAGGAAACAGAUGAGCUGACCUGAAAGCCUGGUUUGGAGACAGCAGGUGCAUCAUUUCCACCUUCAUGUUUUUUAUUGGGAGAAUUCUUUCCAUCAUUUCUUAUCAGGAAAUCAAGAAAGGGAAUCUUCAGACUGAAUUCAUAGCUUUUGGGUUUGGGUGAUAGAUACAUCUUCUGUGAUGGAGGCUGUGGUAGAAUAGUUUCCUGUGGCCAUUUGGUGGCAACAUUAGAUCGUGGCUGGAAGGGGUUUGCAGGCUUGAGGUUUGAGGCUUUUUGGGACACAAUGGGAUGGUUUUGUUUACAGAUAUGGAUAGGGGCCGCCAUAAAACCUCCCUGCUUUUCCGAUGUUUUGUCCUGGGCACUGAUGUAGUAGAAAGGAUGACAGUUCUCAUAGUUAUAGACUUCUUCCUCCUCUCCUUCACUUUGCCACAAUCUAGGUUGCACAAAACUCCUGGCUAUGAAAGAAAACAGAUGAAGGUUAAUGUACAAAUUACAUUGUAAAAUUUAGACAUUAAACAUACAUCGUCAACAAUGACAUCUCUAGAAUCUC